AUACGUGAGAUAGCUCACAAGAGGGCCCCUGUUUUGAGAUUGCCUGUGGUCCACACGGAGUCACCAGCUCUGGAGGGCAGACGCCUAUCGCUAUGGUAACCAGUGUGCAGGGAAAAAGAUCCUGACUGGACUAGACUUCUGAUACCUGCGCCUCAAGGGCCUUCCCCAUUGUUGUAAGUGGUAGGAAAGGUGAGAGGGUCUCCCAGCCAGUGGUGGUACUCAAUUCUCCCUAAUCACCCGGGUCUUAGCCUCCAUCCCGGUUCAAUAAAUAUUUAUUGAAUGUAAAAGCAAUUUAAAAACUGGACAUUACUAAACACAUAGUAAUUAUUGCCAUCAUAGAAUUACUAUUAUUGUUGCUACAGGCCAGGCUCUUCAUCUGUAAACAGGACGCUGGGGGAGAUGAUGAAUAAAGUCCUCUCAAGCUAUGAA